rnacentral:rRNA from 1 species
AGCGUAGGCGGGGACGCAAGUUGAAUGUUAAACCAAUCGGCUCAACCGAUUGUUGCGUUCAAAACUGUGUCUCUUGAGUGGAGUAGAGGCAGGCGGAAUUCCCAGUGUAGCGGUGAAAUGCGUAGAUAUUGGGAGGAACACCAGUGGCGAAGGCGGCCUGCUGGGCUCUAACUGACGCUGAGGCUCGAAAGUGUGGGUAGCAAACAG